rnacentral:misc_RNA from 1 species
CAUCAUCAUCAUCAUCAUCAAGAGGCUAUGAUCCAAUUCAAUAAAAUUUGAGGCUAUGGGGAGUCAACAGAUGCAGACGUGAUCUUGAUCAAUGCCAGGAGAUAUUGGAUGGAAACCCAUGAAAUGGUGACCAUGAAAUUUCAGUGCAAAAGAAUAUCCAUAUAUACAUCGAAAGCUAUUUGUAGAUAUAUCAUUAAUUAUGACUAAAGAAAAUCUGCAUGUUUUGUUGGUGGUCAUCAUCAUAUUUAAGUUUCUGGGUUUUAACUGUAACAUAUAUUUAGACGGGUCUAAUUCAAUUAUGCAGGCCUUUCUCAUCAAUUGAUAGAGAAUUAUCCAAUUUUAAUGUGAA